rnacentral:snoRNA from 1 species
UUGUAAGCAUUUUACCUCAAUUAAAACAUUUUUUUAAAUCAGGUUUGCUAAAGUAACUGCAGUAAUAAAAAUGGGUUAACUUCAGAUUGUACUGAGGUUGCCUAUUCUAUCCUAGAGCAGGU